rnacentral:rRNA from 1 species
UGCCCACUGAUUUAAUUAUUAAAGGGCUGCAGUAUUUUGACUGUACAAAGGUAGCAUAAUCAUUAGUCAUUUAAUUGAUGACUUGUAUGAAGGAUUGGAUGAAAUAUAGACUGUCUUUAAUUUAAUAUUUAAAAUUUAAUUUUUAAGUUAAAAAGCUUAAAUAAAUUAAAAAGACGAGAAGACCCUAUAGAGUUUGAUUAUUUAUUUAUAAUUAAUAUUUUUAUAAAUGUAUUAAUUUAAUUUUAAUAACUAAUUUUGUUGGGGUGAUAGAAAAAUUAAAUAAACUUUUUUUUAUUGUGAACAUAGAUAAGUGAAUUAAUGAUCCAAUUUUAUUGAUUAUAAGAAAAAAUUACCUUAGGGAUAACAGCGUAAUUUUAUUUUUUAGUUCAAAUAAGAAAUAGAGUUUGCGACCUCGAUGUUGGAUUAAGAUAAAAUUUAAAUGCAGAAGUUUAAAAUUUUGA